UACGAAGGGGGCUAGCGUUGCUCGGAAUUACUGGGCGUAAAGAGUGUGUAGGCGGUGCUCUAAGUUCGGUGUGAAAUCUCCUGGCUCAACUGGGAGGGUGCGCCGGAAACUGGAGUGCUUGAGCGUGGGAGAGGAAAGCGGAAUUCCUGGUGUAGCGGUGAAAUGCGUAGAUAUCAGGAGGAACACCUGUGGUGUAGACGGCUUUCUGGACCAUUGCUGACGCUGAGACACGAAAGCGUGGGUAGCAAACAGG
rnacentral:rRNA from 1 species